rnacentral:ncRNA from 2 species
ACGUUAUCACGAAAGGCAGAGGGAUUAGACCCGAUGAAGCCUUGGCAACCUCUCAUUUUUUGAGAAAGGUGCUACAUUCUACAAGUUUUUACUUGACAGAUAACAG